rnacentral:rRNA from 1 species
AUUGAACGCUGGCGGCAGGCCUAAUACAUGCAAGUCGAACGAGUGGCGGACGGGUGAGUAAUGUCUGGGAAACUGCCUGAUGGAGGGGGAUAACUACUGGAAACGGUAGCUAAUACCGCAUACCAUCAGAUUUGCCCAGAUGGGAUUAGCUUGUUGGUGGGGUAACGGCUCACCAAGGCAACGAUCCCUAGCUGGUCUGAGAGGAUGACGGGCCACACGGGAACUGAGACACGGUCCAGACUCAUACGGGGGGAAGAGGUGGGGAGUAUUGCACAAUGGGCGCAAGCCUGAUGCAGCCAUGCCGCGUGUAUGAAGAGGGCCUUCGGGUUGUAAAGUACUUUCAGCGGGGAGGCGUUACCCGCAGAAGAAGCACCGGCUAACUCCGUGCCAGCAGCCGCGGUAAUUC